rnacentral:ncRNA from 1 species
GAGUAGCCAAGGCGCGUUAAGUGUUGCGAAACGGGACGUUGUUCGCAAACGAAAGAGACGAAAAAUCCUUUUCUUCGGUCUCUGCGGUGCCGCGGCGCGUCCGCU